UUUUAUUUGUGUGUGUGUGCUUUUGUACCUCAGUUCAGGCCCAAAGCCGUGCGAAGCCUGCCGCCAAGAGAAGAUCUACGAGGAGCCCACCUCCAUCCUCAACAUCAGCGAGGCCUUUCCGGACAACGCGGCCGGUCGAGAAAUAGCGAGCCUGCCCGCGCAGUGUUUGAAUGCGGGUUGCAGCUGGAAAGGAUCCAUUAAA